UAUUUACAUUAGUUGUCAGGGACAGUCAUGGUCAUGGCAUACCCAUUGCCUAUAUCAUCUUGGGAAAUGAAAAGCAGGCCAUGCUUCAGCUGGCACUGGAAAAGCUGAAACCAACAUUUUCUGUACCUCCAAGGUGCUUUAUGGUUGAUAAAGACCAGGCUGAAAUCAAUGCUAUCCGUAAGGUGUUCAACGAGUCAGAUGUUCUCCUUUGUUGGUACCAUGUAACCCAAGCAGUAACACGUUGGCUGUCAAGAUCUGAAUCUGGUGUGAGUGGACCUGAAAAGGCAGAUUCGAGAGCGCACAUUAUGCAGUUAAUGUCGGAGCUGAAAUCCUGUUCCACGGUGU